CUCUUAGUAUUUUACAGACCUUUGUACACAGCUCAAUCGAAAUUCACCAAUCUCUUCGUUCGUUAAUUUUAGUCGCUCGUUUUCGUUUUUAUUUCAUAGCCUCUGUCUCCAUUUCCCGCUCACUAUUCGGUUUAUUAGCUUGCAACAAUGGAAGCUUCCACUUCUUCCUACAAGAUUAUAUUGGGAUCAUCCUCAGUAGCACGGCGCAAGAUACUAUCUGAAAUGGGGUACGAAUUCAC